rnacentral:rRNA from 1 species
UAGGGAACUUCCGCAAUGGGCGAAAGCCUGAUGGAGCAACGCCGCGUGAGUGAUGAAGGCCUUCGGGUUGUAAAGCACCUUUAUCGGGAAAGAAACACUGUCGGCUAAUACCCGGCGGGACUGACGGUACCCGAUGAAUAAGCACCGGCUAACUCCGUGCCAGCAGCCGCGGUAAUA